AAUUCCUUGGGCGCGGUAGUGCCACCAGACAGAAUUCCCGCUGCGCCAGUUGGACGAAGGAAAACGGGAGGAGAAACACGAGUUUGGUGUGCAGCUUGGAUUGUGUCCAUAAGCACCCCUAUCAGUGUUAUGCGCUUCACUUGCUAACAAACACGUUGAUGGACAAGGGAAGUAGUGAGACAUCCAAACCAUUCCUUGAGAAGACCUUGACAUGCCUGACUUUGUGACUAAUGCAUAGCAGAAUGUGAGCUCUUUAUAAAAAGGGUUUUGAAGUGUACAGUGUAUAUGCUGCAGUGUGUCUGUGUUUACCUUUGUUUGUGUGAAGGAAUGAGUUUGUUUAUGUUUGACUGACAAGGAAUGUUUUGCAUGAUGGAAACGGGAAUACAAUCCAAUAAAGUGGUGUUAAAGUCUGUUUGCAGGCUUGAUACUGUAUAUGAUUA